UACGUAGGGGGCUAGCGUUGUCCGGAAUCAUUGGGCGUAAAGCGCGUGUAGGCGGUCCGGUAAGUCCGCUGUGAAAGUCGGGGGCUCAACCCUCGAAUGCCGGUGGAUACUGUCGGGCUAGAGUGCGGAAGAGGCGAGUGGAAUUCCUGGUGUAGCGGUGGAAUGCGCAGAUAUCAGGAGGAACACCAAUAGCGAAGGCAGCUCGCUGGGACGGUACUGACGCUGAGACGCGAAAGCGUGGGGAGCGAACAGG
rnacentral:rRNA from 1 species